rnacentral:lncRNA from 1 species
CUCUAACAACUACUGGGGAUGGGGAGGCGAAGACGAUGACCUCAGACUCAGGGUUGAGCUCCAAAGAAUGAAAAUUUCCCGGCCCCUGCCUGAAGUGGGUAAAUAUACAAUGGUCUUCCACACUAGAGACAAAGGCAAUGAGGUGAACGCAGAACGGAUGAAGCUCUUACACCAAGUGUCACGAGUCUGGAGAACAGAUGGGUUGAGUAGUUGUUCUUAUAAAUUAGUAUCUGUGGAACACAAUCCUUUAUAUAUCAACAUCACAGUGGAUUUCUGGUUUGGUGCAUGACCCUGGGUCUUUUGGUGAUGUUUGGAAGAACUGAUUCUUUGUUUGCAAUAAUUUUGGCCUAGAGACUUCAAAUAGUAGCACACAUUAAGAACCUGUUACAGCUCAUUGUUGAGCUGAAUUUUUCCUUUUUGUAUUUUCUUAGCAGAGCUCCUGGUGAUGUAGAGUAUAAAACAGUUGUAACAAGACAGCUUUCUUAGUCAUUUUGAUCAUGAGGGUUAAAUAUUGUAAUAUGGAUACUUGAAGGACUUUAUAUAAAAGGAUGACUCAAAGGAUAAAAUGAACGCUAUUUGAGGACUCUGGUUGAAGGAGAUUUAUUUAAAUUUGAAGUAAUAUAUUAUGGGAUAAAAGGCCACAGGAAAUAAGACUGCUGAAUGUCUGAGAGAACCAGAGUUGUUCUCGUCCAAGGUAGAAAGGUACGAAGAUACAAUACUGUUAUUCAUUUAUCCUGUACAAUCAUCUGUGAAGUGGUGGUGUCAGGUGAGAAGGCGUCCACAAAAGAGGGGAGAAAAGGCGACGAAUCAGGACACAGUGAACUUGGGAAUGAAGAGGUAGCAGGAGGGUGGAGUGUCGGCUGCAAAGGCAGCAGUAGCUGAGCUGGUUGCAGCUGCUGAUAGCCUUCAGGGGAGGACCUGCCCAGGUAUGCCUUCCAGUGAUGCCCACCAGAGAAUACAUUCUCUAUUAGUUUUUAAAGAGUUUUUGUAAAAUGAUUUUGUACAAGUAGGAUAUGAAUUAGCAGUUUACAAGUUUACAUAUUAACUAAUAAUAAAUAUGUCUAUCAAAUACCUCUGUAGUAAAAUGUG